ACAGUAGCAACAGCAUCCUGUCGUGUUAACGCAGUGGCUGAAAGAGGCUGAAUCAUUACAGAGCAGCAGAACCAUCACAUGUAGUCCCAGGGCAGUGGAAGAUAAAUGCUCAAGCCUUAGGAAAAUCUGCACUAAACACACUGUUCUGAACGGCACAACUCUACUGCUUUGCAACACACACAAGUCUUUUCAAACAGCCAGGAGGAAUUCUUUCCCCAGUGAAAAGAUCCUUGACGAAGCAAACCAACCCCGCAUGCUGUUUCCUGAUCACUCACGGGACAGACGAGGGCCAGGAGAAAGCCAUUUCCUCUCUGGGACACAGAUGCUAUGCCCACUUGGAGGAGAAAUCAAGACGCCAUGCUUUGCCCUGUCUUACCCACUGGAAUGAUCUUGGAGAAGAAAAUUUUACUCAGUUUUUUAAAACUAUUUCUGUGAGAGGCCAUAUAUUCAUAUCGAUUGCCUUUAUGUCUCUGUGCUCAGUUUGAAACCACGAUGAUCAACUAUACUUAAGCGAAUUUGUCCUUCAUAUGCAAUUCAAGCAGGCAGCGUGGAAUGUGAGACCGUGUGGAGAGUUCUUUUGGUUUAGUUUAUUUUACUAUUACAAUGCUGAUGUUACAUUCCUGUAAGUGCAGUGUGGAGUUAAAUACAAAUCCAUUUCCAGAGGUUGGAAACUUUUCAGUUUUGCUGUUUUAAAGGAAGCAUAAUUGUACAUAUUUAU